AGGUCUUGCCUGCCCAGUGACAAGUUAAACGGCCGCGGUAUUUUGACCGUGCGAAGGUAGCGCAAUCACUUGUCUUUUAAAUGAAGACCUGUAUGAAUGGCGGAACGAGGGCUUAACUGUCUCCCCUUUCAAGUCAAUGAAAUUGAUCUGCCCGUGCAGAAGCGGACAUGAAAAUACAAGACGAGAAGACCCUUUGGAGCUUAAGAUACAAGACCAACUACGUCAAGGGCACACAAUAUAAACCAAACUAAGUAGUACCUGAUCAAUAUCUUCGGUUGGGGCGACCACGGGAGAAAACAAAGCUCCCAUGCGGAUUGGGGUUACACCCCUAAUACCAAGAAAGACAUUUCUAAGUCACAGAACAUCUGACCACAAAGAUCCGGCCUUUCGCCGAUCAACGGACCAAGUUACCCUAGGGAUAACAGCGCAAUCCCCUUUCAGAGUCCAUAUCGACAAGGGGGUUUACGACCUCGAUGUUGGAUCAGGACAUCCUAAUGGUGCAGCCGCUAUUAAGGGUUCGUUUGUUCAACGAUUAAAGUCCUACGUGAUCU
rnacentral:rRNA from 1 species